AUUGAACGCUGGCGGAAUGCUUUACACAUGCAAGUCGAACGGUAGAGGGGGCAACCCCCUUGAGAGUGGCGAACGGGUGAGUAAUAUAUCGGAACGUGCCCAGUCGUGGGGAUAACGUAGCGAAAGUUACGCUAAUACCGCAUACGAUCUAAGGAUGAAAGCGGGGGAUCGCAAGACCUCGCGCGAUUGGAGCGGCCGAUAUCAGAUUAGGUAGUUGGUGAGGUAAAGGCUCACCAAGCCGACGAUCUGUAGCUGGUCUGAGAGGACGACCAGCCACACUGGGACUGAGACACGGUCCAGACUCCUACGGGAGGCAGGCAGUGGGGAAUAUUGGGACAAUGGGCGAAAGGCCUGAUCCAGCCAUGCCGCGUGUGUGAGGAAGGUCUUCGGAUUGUAAAGC
rnacentral:rRNA from 1 species